ensembl:lncRNA
UUACAUGGAUUUAUUUAUUUAUUUGAGUGGUAUUUUUCACUGGAGCAUUGACAGAAACAGCAGUUUAUAUCUGUAUUAGAUCUAUAAAUUAAAUAUAGAUAAUUAAAUAAAGUUAAAUACAUUAAAAUAUAUUAAAGUUGAAUAUAUUUAAAUAGAUAAUUAGAUUGAAAUAAUAUAUCCUAUUAAAUAAUUAAAUAAUAAAUAUUUAACACAAAGAUUUAAAUUAAAUGAAAUAGUGUAUUUAAACGUGCGCUGGCCACGAGGGGCGUUAACGUGAUGUUACGUGAGUGACGUAAACGUGAUGGCAAAAAAAAAAAACGUAAACGUAACGUGAUGGCGCAAAUAACCACGAAGACGGAAGAAUAAUUCUGUUUAUUACAAAAGACUGAAGAUAUAACUGCCGCCAUCCUUUAAUUUAUUUAUUUCUACGCUGAGGACACUUUAUAAACCUACAGAGAUACCGGACCAACGAACGACCUUCACAACGGGACGGAGCUAACGUAAUUAACGUUAACGGUUACUUGGAAAUUCAAACAGUAACGGUCAUCUGACAACUGCGCUGAGCCAAAGGUGGUCCAAGUUACAGUCUGAGGACGGGAACAGCAACAAGAGUUUAACUUCUGAUUCGUAAUCUACACACUCUACUGUUCAUGAAGACAGAUAGAUGUUGUGCCGACCAGGACAGUUCCUCCUACCACACCAGACUUUGCUGUAUAUGGAUGCCUGACCACUAGCACUGGACAUUUACAACAUUUUGGCGCCAGGGAUCCCUUGCAGAGAAGAUUUUUCAAAGACACCCUCAGAAUUACAACAGAUUUUAAGGCUUAAAAUUAUUGUGGGUGGGAGUCAGGAAAAAACACAUAAGUUGCAUCCGUGUAUAAGACACAUUUUACUAUUAAUUUCAGAAAUAUUUUAAAUACUGAUAAAUAAAACAAACGUUAAGAAACUUAAAAACUAUGAACACUGUAAAGAUUUUAUUUUCCCUCACUUCAAAUCAUUUAAAUUGAAUACUAUUCAAAACAGAAUAAAAAUAAAAAUAUUUAGGCCUAUGUAUAAAAUAAAAAAAAAUUCUAGUGCCAUUAUUUACAAGCAGUAUAUCUUUUGUUAAUUAAAAUGCACUUGCUAUCUCAGUUUCUGUGAACCUCAUUCUGAAAUGUAGAAAACAUUUCUGUACCACAUAUUGUCUGUACCACUGUGUACAGACAGGCUUGUCACACAGACAUGAGAACUAUACUUAUAGAAACCUGUAAGUGCCCGCUUUUAUGUGUUUACGUUUUGCUUAGAAUAAUUCAGCACAUCUCAGAAGAUUAAAAAAAAAGACCAGUAGUCUGGAAAAUAUGGUAUAAAUUAUUUUGUUGACCCCUUUGCUUUGGUCCUGAACCCCAGAUUGAAAACCCUUUUUUUAUUAUUAUUAUUGUGCAUGCAGAUAAUAUUUGGGCACAUGAACACUUGACUAUUGCAUGAAUAAAGAAUACCAUCUUUAAGAAUUUUAUGCUAAUUGCAGUUUAAAUAAAAAUGAAAAAGCUUAAAAAGUUAAACUCCAAUAGGUGAACAUAAUGUGUG